CCGGAACUAUCUUUCCCAGCGGGCUGAGCGGCCGGCGCCGCGGCUGCGGUCAGGUGACCCGGUCGCCUGACCGCAGUGAGUCAGGCCGGGAGGGCGGGGCCGCGCCGGUUGCUGCGGCUCGCCCUUGGCCCUUUUAAUCCCCUUCGUGGGCCCCUCAACCUGGAGCGGAUACGUUCUUGGGGCUUCUCCGGGGGUUGUGCUCUUCCGCACUCGGAUCGCUUCUUAGGAAUAUCCUAACUGCCGGUGGGAGGAACUUCGCCCUAAACCUGGGAUUCCGAUCCAGGAACUGGAAGUUGACAGCUUGGCUGCCUGGCUCCUGCAUCUGCCUUCUCCACUCACCAUCUCAUUUCUUUCUCCAGGAUUGUCAGUGGCUUCGCUCCGAGGAGAGCUGACUGCCCUGGGCUGCUGCCUCCGGCAGAGCUGAGCCAAAAUGUCCCCGGAAUCUAAAAAGCUUUUCAACAUCAUUAUUUUAGGAGUUGCCUUUAUGUUUAUGUUCACUGCCUUUCAAACUUGUGGAAAUGUGGCGCAAACUGUCAUCAGGAGCUUAAAUAGCACAGAUUUUCACGGCAGUGGAUAUACCAGCAUGGCUAUUAUCUAUGGAGUGUUCUCUGCUUCAAAUUUGAUUACACCAUCAGUGGUUGCCAUUGUAGGACCUCAACUCUCUAUGUUUGCCAGUGGUUUAUUUUACAGCACGUACAUUGCCGUUUUUAUCCAGCCUUUCCCAUGGUCCUUCUACACAGCCUCUGUUUUCAUUGGAAUUGCUGCUGCUGUGCUUUGGACAGCACAAGGAAACUGCCUGACAAUAAAUUCGGAUGAGCACACCAUUGGGAGAAACAGUGGAAUUUUCUGGGCACUUCUGCAGUCUAGCUUGUUCUUUGGAAAUCUCUACAUAUAUUUUGCCUGGCAAGGGAAAACUCAGAUAUCAGAGAGUGACCGAAGAACAGUGUUUAUUGCCCUAACGGUGAUUAGCCUUGUGGGGACAGUUCUGUUCUUUCUCAUUCGGAAACCAGAUUCUGAAAAUGUCCUAGGAGAAGAUGAGUCUUCUGAUGACCAGGACAUGGAAGUCAACGAGUCUGCCCAGAACAAUCUGACAAAGGCAGUAGAUGCUUUUAAAAAGUCUUUUAAGUUAUGUGUCACCAAGGAGAUGCUCCUUCUUAGUAUUACAACUGCUUAUACAGGUCUGGAAUUAACUUUCUUCUCUGGUGUAUAUGGAACCUGUAUUGGUGCUAUAAAUAAAUUUGGAGCAGAAGAGAAAAGCCUUAUUGGACUUUCUGGCAUUUUCAUCGGCAUUGGAGAAAUUUUAGGUGGAAGCCUCUUUGGCCUGCUGAGCAAGAACAAUCGUUUUGGUAGAAAUCCAGUUGUGCUGUUGGGCAUCCUGGUGCACUUCAUAGCUUUUUAUCUAAUAUUUCUCAACAUGCCUGGAGAUGCUCCGAUUGCUCCUGUUAAAGGAACUGACAGCAGUGCUUACAUCAAAUCCAGCAAAGAAGUUGCCAUUCUCUGCAGUUUUCUGUUGGGCCUUGGAGACAGCUGCUUUAAUACCCAGCUGCUUAGUAUCUUGGGCUUUCUGUAUUCUGAAGACAGCGCCCCAGCAUUUGCCAUCUUCAAGUUUGUUCAGGCUCUCUUUAAAGCAUGUUACAAGUAAUUAUCAACUAGAAACCAUUAUACCCAUUUUAUAGAUGAGAAAACCAAGGCACAGAGAGAUCAAGUAACAUAUCCAAGAUGGCAGAGCUGAAAUGAGUUCUCACUAUGUUGCCCAGGCUGAUCUCGAACUCCUGAGCUCAAGUCAUCCUUCUGCCUCGGCCUCUCAAAUUGCAAGAAUCACAGAUGUGGUCUUGCUCUGUCACCCAGGCUGGAGUGCAGUGGUGCCAUUGAGAGGUGACAGCGUGCUGGCAGUCCUCGCAGCCCUCGCUCGUUCUUGGCGCCUCCUCUGCCUGGGCUCCCACUUUGGUGGCACUUGAGGAGCCCUUCAGCCCAUGGCUGCACUGUGGGAGCCCCUUCCUGGGCUGGCCGAGGCCGGAGCCGGCUCCCUCAGCUCGUGGGGAGGUGUGGAGGGAGAGGGGCGGGCGGGAACCCAGGCUGUGCCCGGUGCUUGCGAGCCAGCAUGAGUUCCGGGUGGGUGUGGGCUCGGCGGGCCCUGCACUCGGAGCGGCCGGUGGGCCCUGCCCACCCCGGGCAAUGAGGGGCUUAGCACCUGGGCCAGCGGCUGCGGAGGGUGUGCUGGGUCCCCCAGCAGUGCCAGCCCACCGGCGCUGCACUCCAUUUCUCACCAGGCCUUAGCUGCGUUCCCGCAGGGCAGGGCUCGGGACCUGCAGCCCGCCAUGCCUGAGCCUCCCCCCUCCGCCUCCGUGGGCUCCUGUGCAGCCCGAGCCUCCCCGACAAGCACUGCCCUCUGCUCUGAGUGCCCAGUCCCAUCGACCACCCGAGGGCUGAGGAGUGCGAGCACACGGCGCGGGACUGGCAGGCAGCUCCACCUGCAGCCCCGGUGCGGGAUCCACUGGGUGAAGCUAUCUGGGCUGCUGAGUCUGGUGGGGCCUUGCAGAACCUUUAUGUCUAGCUCAGGGAUUGUAAAUACACCAAUCAGCACCCUGUGUCUAGCUCAGGGUUUGUGAGUGCACCAACACUCUGUAUCUAGCUACUCUGGUGGGGCCUUGGAGAACCUUUAUGUUGAUACUCUGUAUCUAACUGAUCUGAUGGGGACGUGGAGAACCUUUAUGUCUAGCUCAGGGAUUGUAAAUGCACCAAUCAGCGCCCUGUCAAAACAGACCACCCGGCUCUACUAAUCAGCAGGAUGUGGGUGGGGCCGGAUAAGAGAAUAAAAGCAGGCUGCCCGAGCCAGCAGUGGCAAUCCGCUCGGGUCCCCUUCCACACUGUGGAAGCUUUGUUCUUUCGCUCUUUGGGUCCACACUGCCUUUAUGGCUAUAACACUCAUACGGAAGGUCUGCAGCUUUGCUCCUGAAGCCAGCGAGACCACGAACCCACUGGGAGGAACAACAACUCCCGAUGCGCCGCCUUAAGAGCUGUAACACUCACCAUGAAGGUCCGCAGUCUCACUUCUGAGCCAGCGAGACCACAAGCCCACCAGAAGGAAGAAAUCUGAACACAUCUUAACGUCAGAAGGAAAACUCCAGACACGCCACCUUAAGAGCUGUAACACUCACUGCGAGGGUCCGUGGCUUCAUUCUUGAAGUUAGUGAGACCAAAAACCCACCAAUUCCGGACAUAUCAUCAUGGCCCACUGCAGCCUCAACCUCAGGCUCAAGCCAUCCUCCUGAGAGGUGACAGCGUGCUGGCAGUCCUCGCAGCCCUCGCUCGCUCUCGGCGCCUUCUCUGCCUGGGCUCCCACUUUGGUGGCACUUGAGGAGCCCUUCAGCCCACCGCUGCACUGUGGGAGCCCCUUUCUGGGCUGGCGAAGGUGGGAGCCCGCUCCCUCCGCUUGCAGGGAGGUGUGGAGGGAGAGGUGUGAGCGGGAACCAGGACUGCAUGCAGUGCUUGUGGACCAGCUGGAGUUCUGGGUGGGCGUGGGCUUGGCGGGCCCCGCACUUGGAGCAGCCAGCCAGCCCUACCAGCCCUGGGCAAUGAGGGGCUUGGCACCUGGGCCAGCGGCUGUGGAGGGUGUACUGGGUCCCCCAGCAGUGCCAGCCCACCGGCGCUGCGCUCAAUUUCUCACUGGGCCUUAGCUGCCUUCCCACAGGGCAGGGCUCGGGACCUGCAGCGCUCCAUGCCUGAGCCUCCCAACACCUCCAUGGUUCCUGUGCGGCCCGAGCCUCCCCCACGAGUGCCACCACCUGCUCCAUGGCGCCCAGUCCCAUCUACCACCCAAGGGCUGAGGAGUGCGAGUGCAGCAGGCAGCUCCACCUGCAGCCCUGGUGCAGGAUCCACUGGGUGAAGCCAGCUGGGCUCCCGAGUCUGGUGGAGAUGUGGAGAACCUUUAUGUCUAGGUCAGGGAUUGUAAAUACACCAAUCAGCACCCUGUGUCUAGCUCAGGGUCUGUGAAUGCACCAAUGGACACUCUGCAUCUAGCUGCUCUGGUGGGGCCUUGGAGAACCUUUAUGUCGAUACUCUGUAUCUAACUGAUCUGAUGGGGAUGUGGAGAACCUUUAUGUCUAGCUCAGGGAUUGUAAACGCACCAAUCAGCGCCCUGUCAAAACAGACCACUCGGCUCUACCAAUCAGCAGGACAUGGGUGGGGCCAGAUAACAGAAUAAAAGCAGGCUGCCUGAGUCAGCAGCGGCAACCCGCUUGGGUCCCCUUCCACACUGUGGAAGCUUUGUUCUUUCGCUCUUUGCAAUAAAUCUUGCUACUGCUCACUCUUUGGGUCCACACUGCUUUUAUGAGCUGCAACACUCACCGUGAAGGUCUGCAGCUUCACUCCUGAAGCCAGUGAGACCACGAGCCCACCGGGAGGAACAAACAACUCCAGACUUUUCACCUUAAGAGCUGUAACACUCACUGCUAAGGUCUGCAGCUUCCCUCCUGAGCCAGCAAGACCACGAACCCACCAGAAGGAAGAAACUCCGAACACAUCCGAACAUCAGAAGGAACAAACUCUGGACAUGCCGCCUUUAGAACUGUAACACUCACCGCGAGGGUCCGUGGAUUCAUUCUUGAAGUCAGUGAGACCAAGAACCCACCAAUUCCGGACACGCUCCCAUCUCUGCCUCCCGAGUAGCUAGAACAACAGCCACCAUGCCUGGCUAAUUUAAAAAUUUUUUGUAGAGAUGGGAUCUCCCUCUGUUGUCCAGGCUGAUCG